GAUGAACGCUGGCGGCGUGCCUAAUACAUGCAAGUCGAGCGAACAGACGAGGAGCUUGCUCCUCUGACGUUAGCGGCGGACGGGUGAGUAACACGUGGAUAACCUACCUAUAAGACUGGGAUAACUUCGGGAAACCGGACCUAAUACCGGAUAAUAUAUUGAACCGCAUGGUUCAAUAGUGAAAGACGGUUUUGCUGUCACUUAUAGAUGGAUCCGCGCCGCAUUAGCUAGUUGGUAAGGUAACGGCUUACCAAGGCAACGAUGCGUAGCCGACCUGAGAGGGUGAUCGGCCACACUGGAACUGAGACACGGUCCAGACUCCUACGGGAGGCAGCAGUAGGGAAUCUUCCGCAAUGGGCGAAAGCUUGACGGAGCAACGCCGCGUGAGUGAUGAAGGUCUUCGGAUCGUAAAACUCUGUUAUUAGGGAAGAACAAAUGUGUAAGUAACUAUGCACGUCUUGACGGUACCUAAUCAGAAAGCCACGGCUAACUACGUG
rnacentral:rRNA from 1 species